rnacentral:rRNA from 1 species
UGGUGGGUAGUUUGACUGGGGCGGUCUCCUCCUAAAGAGUAACGGAGGAGCACGAAGGUUGGCUAAUCCUGGUCGGACAUCAGGAGGUUAGUGCAAUGGCAUAAGCCAGCUUGACUGCGAGCGUGACGGCGCGAGCAGGUGCGAAAGCAGGUCAUAGUGAUCCGGUGGUUCUGAAUGGAAGGGCCAUCGCUCAACGGAUAAAAGGUACUCCGGGGAUAACAGGCUGAUACCGCCCAAGAGUUCAUAUCGACGGCGGUGUUUGGCACCUCGAUGUCGGCUCAUCACAUCCUGGGGCUGAAGUAGGUCCCAAGGGUAUGGCUGUUCGCCAUUUAAAGUGGUACGCGAGCUGGGUUUAGAACGUCGUGAGACAGUUCGGUCCCUAUCUGCCGUGGGCGCUGGAGAACUGAGGGGGGCUGCUCCUAGUACGAGAGGACCGGAGUGGACGCAUCACUGGUGUUCGGGUUGUCAUGCCAAUGGCACUGCCCGGUAGCUAAAUGCGGAAGAGAUAAGUGCUGAAAGCAUCUAAGCACGAAACUUGCCCUGAGAUGAGUUCUCCCUGACCCUUUAAGGGUCCUGAAGGAACGUUGAAGACGACGACGUUGAUAGGCCGGGUGUGUAAGCGCAGCGAUGCGUUGAGCUAACCGGUACUAAUGAACCGUGAGGCUUAACCUUACAACGCCGAAG